rnacentral:tRNA from 2 species
GGGGCAUUGGCUCAACGGUAGAGCAGUUGACUCUUAAUCAAUUGGUUCGGGGUUCGAAUCCCUGAUGCCCCACCA